UGGGGAAUAUUGCGCAAUGGGCGAAAGCCUGACGCAGCGACGCCGCGUGGGUGAUGAAGGCCUUCGGGUCGUAAAGCCCUGUCUGGUGGAACGAAACGCCUGGCGGCCAAUACCCGCCGGGUUUGACGGUACCACCGAAGGAAGCCCCGGCUAACUACGUGCCAGCAGCCGCGGUAAGACGUAGGGGGCGAGCGUUGUUCGGAUUUACUGGGCGUAAAGCGCGCGUAGGCGGCCAGAUAAGUCGGGUGUGAAAGCCCUCGGCUCAACCGAGGUUCCGCAUCCGAUACUGCUUGGCUGGAGUCUAGGAGAGGAGAGCGGAAUUCCCAGUGUAGCGGUGAAAUGCGUAGAUAUUGGGAGGAACACCCGUGGCGAAGGCGGCUCUCUGGACUAGUACUGACGCUGAGGCGCGAAAGCUAGGGGAGCGAACGGGAUUAGAUACCCCGGUAGUCCUAGCCGUAAACGAUGGGCACUAGGUGUGGGAGGUAUUGACCCCUUCCGCGCCGAAGCUAACGCAUUAAGUGCCCCGCCUGGGGAGUACGGCCGCAAGGCUA
rnacentral:rRNA from 1 species